rnacentral:rRNA from 1 species
ACUACGGGAGGCAGCAGUGAGGAAUAUUGGUCAAUGGGCGUAAGCCUGAACCAGCCAAGUCGCGUGAGGGAUGAAGGUUCUAUGGAUCGUAAACCUCUUUUAUAAGGGCAUAAAGUGUGGGACGUGUCCUAUUUUUGAUGUACCUUAUGACUAAGGAGCGGCUAACUCCGUGACAGCAGCCGCGGUAAUGCGGAGGAUCCGAGCGUUGUCCGGAUUUAUUGGGUUUAAAGGGUGCGUAGGGGGCCUGUUAAGGCAGCGGUGAAAGGCAGUGGCUUAACGAUAGAAUUGCCGAUGAAACUGGGGGGUUUGAGUGUGUUGGAGGCCGGCGGAAGGCGUGGUGUAGCGGUGAAAUGCUUAGAUAUCAGGCAGAACCCCGAUGGCGAAGGCAGCCUGCUAAGCCAUGACUGACGCUGAUGCACGAAAGCGUGGGGAUCAAACAGGAUUAGAUACCCUAGUAGUC